UACAGAGGUCCCAAGCGUUGUUCGGAUUCACUGGGCGUAAAGGGUGCGUAGGUGGUUGGGUAAGUCUGAUGUGAAAUCUCCGGGCUCAACCCGGAAAUGGCAUUGGAUACUAUUCGGCUAGAGGUUUGGAGGGGGGACUGGAAUUCUCGGUGUAGCAGUGAAGUGCGUAGAUAUCGAGAGGAACACCAGUGGCGAAGGCGAGUCCCUGGACAACACCUGACACUGAGGCACGAAAGCUAGGGGAGCAAACAGG
rnacentral:rRNA from 1 species